rnacentral:rRNA from 1 species
GACGGAGGAUGCAAGUGUUAUCCGGAAUCACUGGGCGUACAGCGUCUGUAGGUGGUCCAAUAAGUCAACUGUUAAAUCUUGGGGCUCAACCUCAAAAUCGCAGUCGAAACUAUUAGACUAGAGUAUAGUAGGGGUAAAGGGAAUUUCCAGUGGAGCGGUGAAAUGCGUAGAUAUUGGAAAGAACACCGAUGGCGAAGGCACUUUACUGGGCUAUUACUAACACUCAGAGGCGAAACCUAGGGUAGCAAAGGGG